UACGUAGGGGGCAAGCGUUGUCCGGAUUUAUUGGGCGUAAAGAGCGUGUAGGCGGUUCGGUAGGUCCGUUGUGAAAACUCGAGGCUCAACCUCGAGACGCCGAUGGAAACCAUCAGACUAGAGUCCGGAAGAGGAGAGUGGAAUUCCUAGUGUAGAGGUGGAAUUCGUAGAUAUUCGCAAGAACACCAGUGGCGAAGGCGGCUCACUGGCCCGAUACUGACGCUGAGGCACGAAAGCGUGGGGAGCAAACAGG
rnacentral:rRNA from 1 species